ACUUAGAAGUGUCUUUUGCAAUUUCAAAUACAACCAGGGAGUAAGAUGUAAAGUAUUGGUAAAAAACAGUUUAUUUUAAGUAGUAAACCUUGUUUGUAUUUAUAAAGUACAAUUUUGCCACUAAUUAGGCCCAUUCAAAAUUCAAAAAAAUUUAAGCACCCAUUCUAGGGAUCUCCCAGUUGUAAAAAUUCACCUUUCCACAGCCACCUUCUUACACGGAAGUAAAGGUGGCUAUCCGCAGGGAGCGUUAACUUUGACACAUGGUCACGUGGUACACUGUGGAUGUUUGUGGGACGAUCUUAUGUGUAUUCCUUAUGGGUGAUUUGCAAAAACAAGAGAUUAUUUAAAAUAUUACUAUUAAUUUUGUACAAUUGUAUCAAUACAUCACAAGAAAUUCGCUAUAAAUACUAUAUAUGGUAGAAAAUGUCUGAUAUAAUACAUAAAUAUAAUUUCGAUAUACAAACUUAGGAAGAGAUUUUUAGGUUAACAGCCGAAAUGUGAGGUUACGGCUGUCAAGAAGGACUUCGUAAAUGUAAACAAAAGUUGCAAAGCCAGAAUUUGCCCAAUCUCAAAGCCUUUUUAAUUCCUAUAAAGUUGAAAUGUUGCUUCCUCUGCUUAAGUAUACUGUUUUUAACAUAAUACCACCAUAAUUCGGUCUUAAAUUUGUAUGAAAUAUAGUUUUUUUAGUGAUAUUCACCAAGCAAAGUUUACAAACUUUUGUGAACCAUUCUAUUUUGUAUAAUAAAAAUGGUAAUGUGCUUUGCCCCGGAUUGUACACAAUAUUGUGAAAGAGGGAUAUGUAGAUUCUUUGUUGUUCCCAGGAUCUGGUUGAAAAGAAGACAUUGAUUUCAUUACUAAGGCACCCAGGAGAAGGGCAUGGCCCUAACCCUCAAAUAUGAGUAUUAUAGAAAAUUAACAGUUACCCAGGCAACCAUCCAAUGAGAAUCGUAGGAAAAUUAACAGUUCCACAGACAAUCAUCCAGUGACCACAUUGUCUCUUUUUGGACAUACCAUCUGACGCUUUCUGAAGAUCUUGGGGUGUAAAUAACCCAGGACAGCACCGGAAGAAGCCGUCAGACCACAGGCUAAAUUCCUUAUUAAAAUCUAUAGCUUGCCUAUAAACAGAGACAGACUAUUUUUAUAUAAAAUAACUUCAUUAGUUCUAAAAUGUAGAUCUUGAAUUGUGACCAUAAUAAAAUGAGAAAAUAAAGUGUUUAUACUGAA